AUACGUAGGUGGCAAGCGUUAUCCGGAUUUACUGGGUGUAAAGGGCGCGUAGGCGGGGGUGCAAGUCAGAUGUGAAAUCUAUGGGCUUAACUCAUAAACUGCAUUUGAAACUGUAUCUCUUGAGUGCUGGAGAGGUAGACGGAAUUCCUUGUGUAGCGGUGAAAUGCGUAGAUAUAAGGAAGAACACCAGUGGCGAAGGCGGUCUACUGGACAGUAACUGACGCUGAGGCGCGAAAGCGUGGGGAGCAAACAGGAUUAGAUACCCUGGUAGUCCACGCUGUAAACGAUGAAUACUAGGUGUGGGGGGACUGACCCCCUCCGUGCCGCAGUUAUCACAAUAAGUAUUCCACCUGGGGAGUACGGCCGCAAGGUUGAAACUCAUAUGAAUUGGCGGGG
rnacentral:rRNA from 1 species